rnacentral:rRNA from 1 species
UACGUAGGGUGCAAGCGUUGCCCGGAUUUAUUGGGCGUAAAGGGCGCGUAGGCGGCUCUGCACGUCCGUUGUGAAAUCGCCCGGCUCAACUGGGCGGGGUCAGCGGAUACGGCAGAGCUUGAGCAAGCUAGGGGGCAAUGGAAUUCCCGGUGUAGUGGUGAAAUGCGUAGAGAUCGGGAGGAACACCUGUGGCGAAGGCGGCCGGCUGGGGGUACCCUGACGCUGAGGCGCGACAGCGUGGGGAGCGAACCGG